rnacentral:rRNA from 1 species
UAGAGUUUGAUCACGGCUCAGAUUGAACGCUGGCGGCAGGCCUAACACAUGCAAGUCGAGCGGUAACAGAUUGAUAGCUUGCUAUCAAUGCUGACGAGCGGCGGACGGGUGAGUAAUGCCUGGGAAUAUACCCUGAUGUGGGGGAUAACUAUUGGAAACGAUAGCUAAUACCGCAUAAUCUCUUCGGAGCAAAGAGGGGGACCUUCGGGCCUCUCGCGUCAGGAUUAGCCCAGGUGGGAUUAGCUAGUUGGUGGGGUAAUGGCUCACCCAGGCAACGAUCCCUAGCUGGUCUGAGAGGAGGAUCAGCCACACUGGAACUGAGACACGGUCCAGACUCCUACGGGAGGCAGCAGUGGGGAAUAUUGCACAAUGGGGGAAACCCUGAUGUAGCCAUGCCGCGUGUAUGAAGAAGGCCUUCGGGUUGUAAAGUACUUUCAGUUGUGAGGAAGGCAGUUAAGUUAAUAGCUUGGCUGUUUGACGUUAGCAACAGAAGAAGCACCGGCUAACUCCGUGCCAGCAGCCGCGGUAAUACGGAGGGUGCGAGCGUUAAUCGGAAUUACUGGGCGUAAAGCGCAUGCAGGCGGUCUGUUAAGCAAGAUGCGAAAGCCCGGGGCUCAACCUCGGAACAGCAUUUUGAACUGGCAGACUAGAGUCCUGUAGAGGGGGGUAGAAUUUCA